AGCUGCUGGUUAAAAUAAUGUUAUAAAUAUUUGAUUAUUAAAAUAUUUUCAUAGUAUUAUUAUACCCCGUAUUUAGUUAAAUAAUUAAAGGAGGAGGCAUCGGCUAUUGUUUGUAUUUACAGAAAUCUGAAACAAAAAUUGAAAAGGCAGAAGAAGAAGAUGAUCUUCUUCCUCAAUUUCCCUUUGCCAUUUUCAUCGUUUCUUUGUUAAAUUAGUUAUUGUUGGUUGAGUUGAGUUAGAACUUGGUGGAUCAAGAAAUAAAAGGAGAUGCUGGGGAAUAGGGAUUAAAGGGAAAGUUAUAGAGCACAAGUUUACAGAAACGGCAUGAUCUGAUGACAGUAAAGUAUUACAUCAUGAUUAACACAAAU